GCGGGAAUUAUGCGCAAUGGGCGAAAGCCUGACGCUGCGACGCCGCGUGAGGGAAUGAAGGCCGUGAGGUCGUAAACCUCUGUGGAAGGGAAAGAUGAUGACGGUACCCUUCUAGAAAGCAGUUGCUAACUACGUGCCAGAAGCCUCGGUCAUACGUAGGCUGCGAGCGUUAUCCGGAUUCAUUGGGCGUAAAGGGUUGGGUAGGCGGUAUAGUGCGUCUAUGGUUAAAUAUCACGGCUUAACCGUGAAAUCGCUGUAGAUACGACUAAACUAGAACAUCUUAGGGGCUGGCGGAACUGUGUAAGGAGGGGUAAAAUCCGUUGAUAUACACAGGAACACCGAAGGCGAAGGCAGCCAGCUGGGAGAUUGUUGACGCUGAACCACGAAAGCUAGGGGAGCGAAACGG
rnacentral:rRNA from 1 species